rnacentral:tRNA from 1 species
UGCGUUGUGGCUCAGCGGUAGAGCGAUCGCCUAGUGUGUGGGAGGCCCUGGGUUCAAUCCUCAGCACCACAU